rnacentral:rRNA from 1 species
CAAGGCUUGACAUAUACGAGAACGGGCCAGAAAUGGCCAACUCUUUGGACACUCGUAAACAGGUGGUGCAUGGUUGUCGUCAGCUCGUGUCGUGAGAUGUUGGGUUAAGUCCCGCAACGAGCGCAACCCUCGUUCUAUGUUGCCAGCACGUAAUGGUGGGAACUCAUGGGAUACUGCCGGGGUCAACUCGGAGGAAGGUGGGGAUGACGUCAAAUCAUCAUGCCCCUUAUGUCUUGGGCUUCACGCAUGCUACAAUGGCCGGUACAAAGGGCUGCAAUACCGCGAGGUGGAGCGAAUCCCAAAAAGCCGGUCCCAGUUCGGAUUGAGGUCUGCAACUCGACCUCAUGAAGUCGGAGUCGCUAGUAAUCGCAGAUCAGCAACGCUGCGGUGAAUACGUUCCC